CCUGGAGGGAUGAUUUAGAAGAGGCAGGCAACGAUGGACGGUUCUAAAUCUCGAUUAGGGUGUUAUUUACCCAGGCGUAUACUUUUCUCAAAUCCCCAUAAGUUGUACACAUAAAAUCUGCGCAUUUCAUGGAUCUGUGUGCAAAUGACACCUCCAUUCUUGAAAAGCACUUUCGAGAUUUAUUUUCGAGGACACCGCCAAGACACAACUGUUCUCUCGGGGAGCUCCUUCUCGCUGCUGUUGUGUGUGUUCACAGCAGCCUCCCACCUGGAGCAGGGGAAGCCCCGAGCGGCUGGACCCACACCUGCAGCAAAGCCAAUGACCACCCCCACUUCCCGCCUCCUGGUCCCCACUCUUACUCCAUGGCUUUUGGGAUGCUAUGGACAGACGGAGAAGCAGGAGGUUCUGGACUGAAAUCCUGAGCAAGUUCCCAAUGUCCUGAGACCCUCAGGGCCGCAUGGUCCCUCCACACCCGGCAGUGGAAUCCAGGAUCCUCAGAGGCACCGUGUCUCACCUGUGUUCCCAACACUCCACCCUCACCACGAUGUUCUGUAAGAGGAUGGACACAGAGGCGGUGCGUCUUAAAAUCCUUCUGGCUCCUAACAUUUGAAACAACUCUCAAGAAACCAACUUGCUUGGCUCAGUCUCCCCGAAAUCCUGUGGCCUGCAGCCUUUGGAACUGGGUUUAUUUAUUCAUUUGAAUUGGAUCCUGGCAUUUCUUUGUGUUUGUUCUCUCCAUAAAGACCUUUUUAUUUGGGUCCUGGAGAGCUGUUUACUGCUUAGCUCAUGUGACAUGAAGAUUGUGAGGACCUGGAGGCCUUAACUCCUGUUACUCCCCAGCGAACUCUGCCCUCCAGGGAAACAGGUGGGGCUCCAUCCAGAUAAGAACAGCCUUUCCAAACAGGAACGACCUCACUCCCCAAACGCAAAGAGCUUAGAGAUUAAAAAUGCAGGCAACCUCCUACCCACUCAUCCCAGGAAGGUGCAGAGUCCUAGGGACCCACUGGGAGAGGGCUGGAUUGCUGUAAUUAAAAGUACUUUUAAAUGAGCA
rnacentral:lncRNA from 1 species